GACGAAGGGGGCUAGCGUUGUUCGGAAUUACUGGGCGUAAAGCGUGCGUAGGCGGUUCUCCAAGUCCGUUGUGAAAGCCCCGGGCUCAACCUGGGAAUGGCAGUGGAAACUAGGGGACUGGAAUCUGGCAGAGGGGGGUGGAAUGCCGCGGUGUAGCAGUGAAAUGCGUAGAGAUGCGGCGGAACACCGAUGGCGAAGGCAGCCCCCUGGGCUGAGAUUGACGCUCAGGCACGAAAGCGUGGGGAGCAAACAGG
rnacentral:rRNA from 1 species